GAGUCUCACCGAAAGCUCAUGGUGAGACAAAGAGACUAGAAGGGGUAGAGUCAGCUAACUUCUCUCCUCCCACCACUGAUGAGGUUUUGGUGAAUUCUCUUCCCUUGCUCAGCCUUUCAGCUUUCAUUAACUCAAUAUAAAUCCAAAGCUUGCAGAUUCAGCAGAGUUGUCUAUAGUGGCUUAAUUGGAAUUGCUGGACAAGAACAUUGAUUCUGCUUCACUCAGGGACUAUUUGGUUUCUAUUCUACUUCUGGCCUUUCAUAUUCCACGUGGUUGAAAAGACCCAUGGAGGACCAGCAACGCUUCCCCACAGCGUGGGAUGGUCCCCUCCUGAGAUGGCCCACUGUCAGCGGGACUGGCGCCAAGCACUGCAUCCUGUCUGCUUCUUGAACAGCCCCUUCAUUGUUUGUUCAGCUAUUCUGCUGCAUCUGCAGAUAGCCCUGCCUGAGAAACAGCCUCAAACCAGAAGGAGAGGAUGGCGGCAAGCCUUAGAGAAACAUGUGACCGUAAAGAAAAUUUGGGAAUGUGUAUUUCAGGGAAAAUGAAAAUGAUCCCAAUAAAGAUCGGAGAUGCAGGAAGGAAGGAAAACAUAGAAAUUGGUAAAUAUGAAAUUCAAUAUAAACACACAUUGAUUAGAUAAAACACUGAUGAUGAUAGAUGUCUAAUUUGUGGAUUAAAAAAUAGAACAAAAACAUCGAUUAAGAGUGGCAUAUAAAUCAUUGUAGAGGUGAUGAAAUUCAAA
rnacentral:lncRNA from 1 species